rnacentral:rRNA from 1 species
UACGUAGGGGGCUAGCGUUGUCCGGAUUUAUUGGGCGUAAAGAGCGUGUAGGCGGCCAGAUAGGUCCGUUGUGAAAACUGGAGGCUUAACCUCCAGCUGUCGAUGGAAACCAUCUGGCUAGAGUCCGGAAGAGGAGAGUGGAAUUCCUGGUGUAGCGGUGAAAUGCGCAGAUAUCAGGAGGAACACCGGUGGCGAAGGCGGGUCUCUGGGCCGGUACUGACGCUGAGGUGCGAAAGCGUGGGGAGCAAACAGG